GACUGACAGACAGUUGCCCAGCGCCUCAAGUUCCGGCUGAACCUGUAUGAGUUGAAAGAAGGUCGGCAGAUCAAACCUUAUACCCUCAUGAGCAUGGUGGCCAACCUCUUGUAUGAGAAACGGUUUGGCCCCUACUACACUGAGCCAGUCAUUCCCGGGUUGGACCCGAAGACCUUUAAGCCCUUCAUUUGCUCUCUAGACCUCAUCGGCUGCCCCAUGGUGACUGAUGACUUUGUGGUCAGUGGCACCUGCGCCGAACAAAUGUACGGAAUGUGUGAGUCCCUCUGGGAGCCCAACAUGGAUCCGGAACACCUGUUUGAAACCAUCUCCCAAGCCAUGCUGAAUGCUGUGGACCGGGAUGCAGUGUCAGGCAUGGGAGUCAUUGUCCACAUCAUCGAGAAGGACAAAAUCACCACCAGGACACUGAAGGCCCGAAUGGACUAACCCUGUUCCCAGAGCCCACUUUUUUUUCUUUUUUUGAAAUAAAAUAGCCUGUGUUUCAAAAAAAAAAAAAAAAAAAAAAAAAAAAAA